AGAGAGUGCAAGCGUUAAUCGGAAUUACUGGGCGUAAAGCGCACGUAGGCGGAUACUUAAGUCGGUUGUGAAAGCCCUAGGCUUAACCUAGGAAUUGCAGUCGAUACUGGGUGUCUUUGAGUAUGGUAGAGGGAAGUGGAAUUUCCGGUGUAGCGGUGAAAUGCGUAGAUAUCGGAAGGAACACCAGUGGCGAAGGCGGCUUCCUGGACCAAUACUGACGCUGAGGUGCGAAAGCGUGGGGAGCAAACAGGAUUAGAGACCCUGGUAGUCCACGCUGUCAACGAUGAGAACUAGACGUUGGAGAGUUUACUCUUUAGUGUCGAAGCUAACGCGCUAAGUUCUCCGCCUGGGAGUACGGUCGCAAGAUUA
rnacentral:rRNA from 1 species